GCCACUGUGGCCAAGUGGUAAGGCGUCGGUCUCGUAAACCGAAGAUCCAGGGUUCAACCCCCUGCGGAGGCA
rnacentral:tRNA from 1 species